AACGAACGCUGGCGGCAUGCCUAACACAUGCAAGUCGAACGAGACCUUCGGGUCUAGUGGCGCACGGGUGCGUAACGCGUGGGAACCUGCCCUUAGGUUCGGAAUAACUCCCCGAAAGGGGUGCUAAUACCGGAUAAUGUCUUCGGACCAAAGAUUUAUCGCCUUUGGAUGGGCCCGCGUUGGAUUAGCUAGUUGGUAGGGUAAAAGCCUACCAAGGCGACGAUCCAUAGCUGGUCUGAGAGGAAGAUCAGCCACACUGGGACUGGGACACGGCCCAGACUCCUACGGGAGGCAGCAGUGGGGAAUAUUGGAAAAUGGGCGAAAGCCUGAUCCAGCAAUGCCGCGUGAGUGAUGAAGGCCUUAGGGUUGUAAAGCUCUUUUACCCGGGAUGAUAAUGACAGUACCGGGAGAAUAAGCUCCGGCUAACUCCGUG
rnacentral:rRNA from 1 species